GGCUUUUAAGUGAUUAGAUUUUAUAUUGAUGUGUUGCAUAUGUUGUGUUGGUGGUGUAUGCAUGAAUUCUGGAGCAUAAGUGAUGGAAAAGUCUCUUUUGAAUCAUUGGCAAAGUUCUAUUUGACAGUACAAACUGUGAUGCAUUAACAACCCGAUAAAACAUAAAUGGUGCCAAAUUUCACAUAUCAAGAUCACCAUGAUAAAAAAGUUCCACCUAUAUAAACGCCAUUAACCCCACCAGGUUGUUAUGGUUUUUUCCAACUGCAAGCAGAAAAC